rnacentral:lncRNA from 1 species
GAAGGCAAAGGCGCCUCAGCGGGACCUGGGGAGCAGCGGGACCCCCACCCCCAGCGGCACGGCGGGCCCGGGGUCUCCACAGGCAGGCCCGACAGAGGGACGACAGUACACACAGGGCCCUGGCGCUCAGGCUCGGGUGCGUGGCAGUGCCGCGGGCGUCACCGGCGAGGAGGAAGCGGGCGUCACCAGCGAGGCCGCACAUGGCCGGCGGCGCUCAAGCGGAGGGGCGGCCCGGGGCGCGGUACCUGCGGUCGGGCGGCGGGCUGCUGCUCCUGCGAGCCUCCUUUGGCCGGCCGGGACCCCACCGUACCCUCGCCCUCGUCCGCCUCGCUCCCGACUCCUUUCCCUCUCUUUCCCCCUUUUUGCCCCUUCCUCGGCCGUGGCUCCAAGAUGGCGGCGCCGAGACAGAUCACGUGAGCGGCGAGCGGGUCAGGUGAGC